rnacentral:rRNA from 1 species
UACGUAGGGUCCGAGCGUUGUCCGGAGUUACUGGGCGUAAAGCGCGCGCAGGCGGCUUCAUAAGUCUGGCGUGAAAGCCCCCGGCUCAACCAGGGAGGGUCGUCGGAGACUGUGGAGCUUGAGGGCGGUAGGGGCUGGUGGAAUUCCCGGUGUAGUGGUGAAAUGCGUAGAGAUCGGGAGGAACACCUGUGGCGAAGGCGGCCAGCUGGGCCGUCCCUGACGCUGAGGCGCGAAGGCGUGGGGAGCGAACGGG